rnacentral:rRNA from 1 species
UACGAAGGGGGCUAGCGUUGUUCGGAAUUACUGGGCGUAAAGCGCACGUAGGCGGAUUAGUAGGUCAGGGGUGAAAUCCCGGGGCUCAACCUCGGAACUGCCUUUGAUACUGCUGAUCUCGAGUCCGGAAGAGGUGAGUGGAAGUCCUAGUGUAGAGGUGAAAUUCGUAGAUAUUAGGAAGAACACCAGUGGCGAAGGCGGCUAUCUGGACGGUUUCUGACACUAAGACUCGAAAGCGUGGGGAGCAAACAGG